UGUGAUGGCUUUAUGAGAUGAUAAAUGC
rnacentral:piRNA from 1 species